rnacentral:rRNA from 1 species
GACGAACGCUGGCGGCGUGCUUAACACAUGCAAGUCGAGCGGUAAGGCCCUUCGGGGGUACGACGAGCGGCGAACGGGUGAGUAACACGUGGGUGACCUGCCCUUAGCUCUGGGAUAAGCCUGGGAAACUGGGUCUAAUACCGGAUAUGACUCCAUGACGCAUGUUGUGGGGUGGAAAGCCUUGUGCGGCUAGGGAUGGGCCCGCGGCCUAUCAGCUUGUUGGUGGGGUGAUGGCCUACCAAGGCGACGACGGGUAGCCGGCCUGAGAGGGCGACCGGCCACACUGGGACUGAGACACGGCCCAGACUCCUACGGGAGGCAGCAGUGGGGAAUCUUGCGCAAUGGGCGAAAGCCUGACGCAGCGACGCCGCGUGAGGGAUGAC